AUUGAACGCUGGCGGCAGGCCUAACACAUGCAAGUCGAACGAGUGGCGGACUGGCGAGUAAUGUCUGGGAACCUGGCUGACGGAGGGGGAUAACUACUGGAAACGGUAGCUAAUACUGCUUACCACCAGAUGUGCCCAGAUGGGAUUAGGUAGUUGGUGGGGUAAAGGCUCACCAAGGCGACGAUCCCUAGCUGGUCUGAGAGGAUGACCAGCCACACUGGGACUGAGACACGGUCCAGACUCCUACGGGAGGCAGCAGUGGGGAAUAUUGGGCAAGGGGAGAAAGCCUGAUGCAGCCAUGCCGCGUGAAUGAAGAAGGCCUUCGGGUUGUAAAGUUCUUUCGGCAGGGAGGCGUUAGCCAAAGAAGAAGCACCGGCUAACUCCGUGCCAGCAGCCGCGGUAAUAC
rnacentral:rRNA from 1 species